rnacentral:lncRNA from 1 species
CACACAUCUGGUCCAACACUACUUUGGGAUAUGUUUUGCUAAGGUUGCUGUUCUGCCUGGAAGGCCCUCAUUCCUCAGCUGCAUGACCCGAGGUUUCCUUCCUCUAAGACCUUGCUAGCGGCUCCUAGAUGCCUUCCAAACCAAAUUCUCUUCUAUGAGAUCAGCUCUUAGCUUUGUAUUCCCUGGCACUUAUGGAGUAUGUUAUGGAGUUUAAAAGCUAAAGCCAAGCCAGGAAGAGGAAGACAAGAUGAGAAACCCCAAAUCAAGGUAAGAGAAGAAAAUAAGUGCAACAUGCCAGAAAUCCAGUAAAGCAGUUCAAGUAUCAGAAGAGCGUGAAUCAAAACCAAGUGCAAGAAGAGGCACCUUGACAUUGAACUGAAGGCCACCAGGUACUCACUGGGUCAAUGACUCUUCUCAUUUUUAUUCUCCUGCCAGUGCUUCCAAUCGCUGAACUGAACUGGGAACAAAUCAACAAGGGAAACCAAGAGAUGCAUUCCUUGAAGUUCAGCCUCCAGGCCUCAAGUAAGGCAGAGGAAGAGAAUACAUAGAUCUGUGGAGAAGAGUGGUGAUGGUGGGAGCUGCCAAUAAAGAACUAUCAAAAAAGACGAAGUCUUUGUCGUCCAGGCUAGAGUGCAGCUGUGUGAUCUCAGCUCAUUGUAACCUCCACCUCCUGAUACAAGCAAUUCUUCUGCCUCAGCCUCCUGAGUAGGUGGGACUACAG